CAAGCACCCGAACCCCAGACCCGCCGUGCACCGUGGCCACGGCUCCAAGCGGGUGCAAACAGCAGCGGGGGCCUCGUCGCCUCUGAGGGGCUGUGGGUGCCCCCGGGAAUGAAUGUGGAGGCCGCACAUGC
ensembl:snoRNA